UUAUUAGCAACGCAGGCUCAGAGACCCCACUCAGACCUAUUUAAUCAGAAUUUGCAUUUUUAUAGGUGCCCCCAGAUGAUCUGAUUAGAUUCCCUGAUGGCUCAGAUAUAGAGUCUGCCUGCAAUUCAGGAGACCCGGCUUCGAUCCCUGGGUCAGGAAGAUCCCCUGGAGAAGGAAAUGGCAAUCCACUCCAGUAUUCUUGCCUGGAAAAUCCCAUGGAUGGAGGAGCCUGGCAGGCUACAGUCCAUGGGAUCACAAAGAGUCAGGCAUGACUGAGGGACUUCACUUUCACUUUCAGAUGAUCUGCGCAUACAUUCCAAUGUGAGCAGCCUGCGGAGAGGCAGGGUAUAGGUUAACAUAGGUGGGUGGGGAGCAUGUACUUGGGUGUGUGUGUUCACACACACUUUUUUGUAGGAUCUGACCACCCCCCGAAGGAGACUCUAAUUGGUAGCCUCUGGAAGCAUCUCCUCUAAUUAUUCAACCCAUCUCUAGAUAAACCACAAAUUUCUUCCCAAACAGUGACUGAACAGAACUUAAGCAAGAAGUAGAAGAGAAUGAGCCGUAAUUCGGAGGAUUCCAGCCUGCCCGGGAGAGCAAACUGGAGACCAAGUGAGGCUGAAGGAGCUUGACCUGACUUGGCCACUAGGAUCAAGGCUAGACUGAAGCUGUGAGCACCCGGCAGAUUAAUGAGUUGAUGGCCCUUCAACUUGUUAUUUUUGAAAUAUUUGUUCAACACUUAUCUGGUAUUCCACGGAUAAGCUGAUCUUCUAUUAAUAAAAAUUGCAUACAGAAAUAGAUCCUAUCGUUAAUUUUUAUCUACUGGCCAAAACAGAGUCUUCGUACCAAAAAAGCCUGGCAUCUGGGCAUAUCUGGAAGAUUAAAGGGACAGGCUUCCAGGAGACUAUUUGCAUGAAGAGCCAAGGAAGGCCGUGGAAGAAAGGAUUACUGGAAAAAGAGGCAUCCUGGGUAGACCUGAUCCAGAAUGCGGCUCUGGCACUGAGGGGCAGUGAGCUCAGUGCUCUUCACCACGGGUACCAGCAGCAGAACAUCAGGGAACCCACGGAGACCAGAGAAGGAGAGGAGGAGCAUGGAGGAUGUCACAUGGGAGUUGGAAGGACUUGUUGAUGAGCACAGGUCCUUCAGUAAAGAAUAGAAUCUCAUGAAAUCCUUCCAGCUCACACACUUCUAACCUUUGAGUCAACUUUGAUGGCUGGUCAAAGGGUAUCAAAAUGGCUCCAAAUGCACAGAUUAAGCAGCUCUCCACUGUCUGAAUAGUUGAAGUAUCCAAGAAAAGGACAAAAAUGGAAGCAAAGAUUGUCUUUUUUGCCUUGUUUCUUUCUUUUCAAAUGGUGACAAGCUGGAAACAAUCUAAAUACCCAAAACAAGGAACUGGCUAAGUCAAUUACGGUGCAGAAACUUGAGGGAAUGCUAUACAGCAAUGAAAAUAAGUAAGAAAAUGACCUACGAAAAUAUCUUUAUAAUGUUACACUUAAAUCCAGAAUACAGAACUGUGUGUUCACUGUAUGAAAUAUGUGAGUGCAUGAACAGAAGAAACAUGCAUGCAUAAAAUUGUUUGCAUGGGUGUGGUGACUUUUUUCUCUCAUUUAAACAUGCUUUUAACGAUGUUAUCUAUAUAAUGAUAUUGGUGUCCAAAAAAUUUCUAAGUACUUUGAAAAAAAAGGAAGACAAUCUGAUGAAGACAAGAGAUUGGAAUCAUUCAAUGAAUGUCCAGACCCCAGUGUGACAGGCUGGAGUGUGGGCUCUGACUUCUUCUUCUUCUUUUUUUAAUUCUUUUUGUUUAUUUAAUAAAUUUAUUUGGCUGCACCA